AGAGCUUGUCCAGAGAGAUGUGGGAGACAGUGGGAAAAAAUGUCCUACAGUAGAAGGAGAAAAAACCCAUCCUGCCAACACCUUGAGUUUGGACUUCCAGCCUUCAGACCAUGAGAAUACACUUCUGUUGUUGAAGCCACCCAGCCAGCAGUGGUGCCUAUCCACAGGAACCAAGCUGAUGCACAGUGAUUUUGGAGCAACUCCAAGUGUGAACCAGGAGCAGGUGAUCCCCGGCUGAACCUCAGGACUUGGGGGACCUUAGCCUGCAGCCUCACUAAGGACCUUCUCAGCUAAGAACACCUCCCACCUGCCAGCUAGCAGGCUCCGUGGCCGUGCCCAGCUCAGAAGCUCUGCCUGUGAGGAAGCGCAACAGUUAUAUCCUCCUCUGGGCCAUCCUGCCAGAGGGCCAUUUAAUGAGCGGGGACUUGGGGAGCUUUGCUUACAGCACUCAGGCGGCUGAGGCAGG
rnacentral:lncRNA from 1 species